AGUCAAUUACCUAAGCUUCCUUGAUUAACUGCACCCAAGGCCACCCCUUCAUGCCAUCCUCUCCUUGCCCUGCCCAACGCUAAUAACAAUAGGAGCCCCAGUCCGCCUCCUCGGCUUAACCCAGGAACAGGGCACAAACUGAUGAUCAUUUUUCUUUGUGAAUUAUGACACAGGCACAUCGCCUCACCCCUGGAAGAAAGCAGUCCCUGCCAAUCCUUUAAAACAGCCGGCAGAGAAAUGAGGGGCCUGCUAGGGCCAAGCUGCCUCCCUGCUGACUCUAAUUACCCAGCCGGGAAUCGCACAUCCCUCCUUCCCGCCCGCCCCCAAGUUGGACCGAGGACUCUGCACUCCACAGCCUUCGGCUGGUCCUUUUGUGUGCCCACGGCUGCCGAGUGGAUGUGGCUCAUAAUGAGCUUUGACACUAAUGGAACUGCGAGACAGUGUGAUUAUGGAUUCUCCCCCCUCGCAGCACAGACCUGGCAGGAAAUGACCCGAGACUCUGCACCCUUCCACCCCCAAAAGAAUUCUGUGGAAACCAUCUUCAGCAGCCAGCUGGAGCUCUCCCCCCACCCCUUUCUCAGCUCAGUUUCCUCUUCCCUCCAUCAUCCUGCAGGUGGCUGAAAAUAAGAUUUUAUGGCCUGACGCGUGGUGGGUUGGUUGACAGCGCUGGAGACCUUCUUUAAUUCGAGGGGGCCAUGGAGCAUGGAGAACAAUCAGAAAUUCCCAGAGCUGUCAGCUCUUUAUCACGUGAUGUCAGUGCUGAGCUGGACCACAUUUUCUGUCUCUGGUGCUACAGUUUUCUCCCCGAAGUUCCUUAAAUGUGACCAAACCUCUCCUCAACGCCACGGAAUGCAGAGCUUGGAGGGUCUGUUGGCGAGGAGAAAGGCGGCUUCCCUUUAGACCUCAUUCCAGACAGAUCGGGGAAGCAUUCGUGUAAAAUGUUACUUUUUUAAAUGUUAAUAAAAUCUGAUGGUCACGUCGCUCCAGGUAUUUAGAGGGGAUCAGGCACGUUCGGGGUGGGACGGCCCUGGACGCUCUGAGUAUUUCCAUGCACUAAACCUCAGCACCUCGCGAGGAGGGAAAGUUAGAAUCCAAAUAAGCUGAAGCAGGUGCUCUGCUCCGUUACUCAUAGCCUAAAAAGGCCCCUUUUGGACCAAAUAAAGAGUAGGCAAUUUAAGGUGACCAUCUCCCCCUACCUUGCGUAGAGUCUUCUUUACUGGGCGGUGGUAACGCUGAAGCCGCCCCCUGACCAGGCGCAUCCAGCCGCUGGGCAGUGGGUGAGGCCGGAAAGCGCCUUUUCACAGCACUCGUGGGUGGACUGGUGGCACCUGCGUCUGUCCCUUAUAGCCUGUGCAAGGCGGACCUGGUCCCGUGACAGCUUCUCUGUGGACUGUAUAGCUUCUGCCAGCAGCUCUGUUUUUCUCUAGUUUAGGAUUAGUGGAAAUUUAAUUGAAAAUAAAACCCAGAGAACUGUGUGACUCCUGAAAGGGGGAUCGAAGAGUUCCUCCCACAGCCAGCCCCCCUUGUGGCCAUUUCUGCUCGCUUCUGUGCGACCUCCAGGGCCUGAGGACAAGCCUCUGUGUCCUGUGGCACGUUGGUGACCGGGACAUUGCUGGAAGAGCCAGGACGUGGGCGUGCUUAACUCAUCUUUUGGUGAGCGUGUCCACUCAAGGUCAACAUUUAUUUCUUCUCACCCCAGCAGCCUUUUCUUAUGUUUUCCUCCGAUCUUUCCAGAGUUUUCUUUGUCACACAUGCUAUCUGUGAAAUCUUUAUUUCACCAUUAUUUUUUUUUAACC
ensembl:lncRNA